UGCAACUUCCUGGACAGAAACACUCUC
rnacentral:piRNA from 2 species